rnacentral:rRNA from 1 species
AGCGGCGGACGGGUGAGUAACGCGUGGGUAACCUGCCUCAUACAGGGGGAUAACAGCUGGAAACGGCUGCUAAUACCGCAUAAGCGCACAGUACCGCAUGGUACGGUGUGAAAAACUCCGGUGGUAUGAGAUGGACCCGCGUCUGAUUAGGUAGUUGGUGGGGUAACGGCCUACCAAGCCGACGAUCAGUAGCCGACCUGAGAGGGUGACCGGCCACAUUGGGACUGAGACACGGCCCAA